AACAGCACAGAGCAGCACUGUGGCCGAUUGUUCCCCGCCUCGGCCGUGGGCUUCUCUGUGCGCGCCGGAAAUUGACCUCCUCAAACGCCAAGGAUGCAGGCAGCCCGAGGAUCAUGAUAAGGCAGAGCACUGUUAUGUCCAAGGAAUUUAUGACUGGGGCUGAGGAGAUGGGUCCGUCAGUAAAGUACUUGUUUGCUGCAUAAGCUGAAGGAUGUGAGUUUGGACUCCCCAGCACUCAAAUGAAUGCUAGGUGCAAUGGCAUGCACCUGUAAGCCCAGCACUCAGGAGGCAGACAGGCAGAGCCCUGGGGUCAUUCCAAAGAAGCAUAUUGCAACCAGAAGUUGGAUAGACAAGAGAAGGUCACCCCAGCCUCGACUCCCAAACCACGUGGGCUUGCAGCGUUUCCUCAAAACACUUAACCAGUUGUUUUGGGAAGCAUCUGAACCAUUUGUCAACUCUUCUAGCUUGGACCACGCUGACAUCCCAUGACCAGGCUGCAACCUAAUGCCGGCAUCAACCACCUGUCUGACAAGGAAGGGGAAACAGGUGGCCAAAGUGAUGGCUCAGUUGUGAUGAGCAGCUGGGGUUGGUGGAGGUUACCUUCUCAAAGGGUAAACAACCCUCUUGAGUUUUGGACCCUUUAAGUCGUGAAAUUAUUUAUUUUACGUCUGUGCAUCUUCAUGUGUGUACAGAUGCACUAUUGGCUCAUGUAUGUGGAGAACAGAGGACAAACUUGGCUGUCAUUCCUUAGAAACUUGGUCCCCUUCUUUUGAAAUGGGCUCUCUCAUUGGCCUGGAACUCACCAAGUAAGAUAGAUUAGCUGGCCAAUCAACUCCAGACAUCUUCCUGUCUCACCUCUCUGCACUGGGGUUACAGGCCCGUGUCAUCACUCCCGGCUCUCUUACAUGGGUUCUCAGGUCCUCACGUGUUGUAGUUACCUUCAUGUUGCUGGGGGAAAAAAAAGA